rnacentral:lncRNA from 1 species
GAAAUAACUUGGCAUUAGGAUACUGCAAUGGAAAACAACAUCAUACUCAGGAAACUUCUCAGAAUUCAUUUUUGAGAGUGGACUCCUUUUAUCAUAGUCAACAUCUAGACUGACAAUCCUUGAAAAAUUAUUUUAGAAUAAUUAAAAUCUUAAUGAUCAAUUCAAUAUGAUUCAAAGACCUAAGAAUUAGGCCAGAAACUCUUAGAAGAAAACAGAAGGGGUUGACCUAAUUCCUUUCUCAAUAAGACACUUAAAACUCAGGAAAUGAAGCCAGGAGUUAAUAAAUGGGAAAGCAUCAAAUUAAGAAGCUUCCACACAGCAAAGGAAACAAUUAAGAAUGUGAAGAAAGAAACCACAGAAUGGGAGAAAAUCUUUGCAAUCUACUCUUCUGACAGAGGAUUAAUAUCUAGAAUAUAUAAAGAACUCAAAACAAUAUUACACCAAAAAGUCAAAUAACCCUAUUAAUAAAUGGACAAAUGAAUUAAACAGACACUUCUUUGAAGAAAUGCCAAAGGCCAACAAAUAUGUAAAAAAAUGUUUAACUUAUUAACACUUAGGGAAAUGCAAAUGAAAACUACACUGAGAUUUCAUCUUACACCAGUUAGAAUGGCAUUCAUCAAGAAUACAAGCAAUAAUAAAUGCUGUAGAGUUAUGGAGGAAAAGGAACACUUUUACACUGUUGUGGGAUUGUAAAUUAAUAUAACCACUAUGGAAGUCAGUAUGGUGGUUCCUCAAAAGACUAGGCAUGGAACCACCAUAGAACCAGCUAUACCAUUCCUUGAUAUUUAUUCUAAAGAAUUAAAGUCAUCAUACUAUAGUGAUGCAUACAUACCCAUGUAUAUAACAGCACAAUUCACAAUAACCAAACUACAGCACCAGCCUAGUGUCUAUCAGAGGAUGAAUGGGUAAAGAAAAAAAAUAUUUAUGAUGGAGUUUUAUUCAGC